rnacentral:misc_RNA from 1 species
GAAGAAGGCAACCCAAUCUCAGCACCACACAGCUUUCAUCCACCACUUGGAAGAAGAUACCAUUUGGAAGAAGUUCAACAGCUCUCAAAAAAUAAGCAAUAGUGAGAGCAUGAGAAACCCAUCACCAGCCACGAGGCCAUUCUUCUAGAACCAGAGCUAGACCUCCAGAAAAGGAGCUCAAACAGAACUUAGUGAUUCACGGGAGAGUAGAUCCGUAGAGCCAAAUUGGCAUUUUCACCUUAGAAGAUCAAGCAGCCAUCAUACGCGCCGGCUAUGUGUCACGGCCUCACAGGGUCAAGUA